CAAUAGCUGUCCGGAAUAUUAUGCUCACAUGCCUAUUAGAUAUUAAGAAUUAGGACGGCUUACGUAAAGGGAGUGAGAUUUGUUUUUAUAUGUGUUUGUUACUGGUCCUUCCUUCCUUUAAUGAUCGAUGGAGAUAUUAAUAACUAAUUAAUAAUAAUAAUAAUAAUACAUCCAUCUACUAAUUCACCAUACACUUCACUUCACAGCCUGUCAAUUGAUCCUCCAUUAUUUUUGGUCCAUCUUUGUUGUUUCUGUGUUUGCGUUUCUCUCUCUCUCUCUCUCUCUCUCUCUCGCUCUCUCUCUCUAAGUAAUAUGUUACAUGGGCAUGUCGUAUGUGAGAAAGCCUUGCGGCAGCAGCAACAUCGUCGCUAGCUGGAAAUGAUCGUAAGCACGGUCGGAGACCUCCGCAUGUUGGCUUCCGCAGUCUCGCAAUUUAUGGCAACAAGUGAUGGAGGGGCAGGGGAUCGGUAGGCGGGAAGAUGCACGAUAAGAACGCGAUCGGAGUUCGCAGGUGAGUAUUAUUGCAGCCGUAACUUCUUGUUCGUGUUUCUGUUCCAUUGUCUUCAUAGUGCCUAAUCUUUUGCAGGUUUUCAUUUCUUUCCUUUCUUUUCUUUUUUUUUCGCCAAAGGAUAUGGAAAGCUAAAUUUUGUAGUUAUUCCCUAAUGACCUUUCAACUACUAGUGGGACUCUAAUAAAGGUCAUAAUAAUUAAUGAUCGACUAAUUAUACUAGUGUCUUUCAUUUGUGGAAGGAAAAUUUACAUGAAACAUAUACCGUUCCUAAAUUUGUUUGGUUUAGGUAGCAUCAAUCAAUCAAAAGUUUGUUAUCUAAUUAAGAGAUAUGUAUAUGAUUUCAUAAAGCCAAGGUCGAACUCUAGAUUUAAUCUCUAUAUUUUAGUACUACGGAGUUCGAAUUUUUAGUUGUUCCAGCUAAAUUUUCUGUUAAAUUCUCGUAGUUUUAUUCGUAAACGACUCGCCUUCUUCUCAGCUCUCCAUACAUCUCAAACUUUUAGAUCAUCGUCUUUGAUUUGUCACUAGUCAAAAUUGCGCGUCUAGCUUAAUUCUUAUGAAAGUUAGUUUCUAAAUUUUUCGGUAGUACGUUAAAAUAUUCCAAGCAUAUACGAAGUCUUCUGCAUACAAAGCUGCAGAAAGAAAAUAUAAAUAUAUAUACAAACUUCAUUGUGUACAAAUUAUCAUUCCAUCAAACCAAACAAAAAAAAAAAAAAACUUUUCAUAAUGGCGUAUACC